rnacentral:snRNA from 1 species
GUCUUCGGCACAUAUACUGAAACUGGAACUAUAUAGGGAAGAUUAGUAUGACCCUGUUCAAGGACGCCACACAAAUUCAUGAAGCAUUCCAUAUUAUU